CCCUGGCUAGCUCAGUUGGUAGAGUGUGUGACUCUUGAUCUCAGGGUUGUGAGUUCGUCUCAUGGUGGGCA
rnacentral:tRNA from 1 species